UUAUCAAAGAGGCAAAUGGUGGAGAAGGCAAUAUAUGUGGAACGGUUGACCUUGACCAAGAGACAGUAACCACUUUGCUCCUGUCCCUCUCCCCUGUCUCCUAGGAUAAAAAAAAGGAAAGGCGAAGUUCCUGAAAGAUGAGGCUCCAACACCUGUUUGUGAAAUUGAACUGCAUUCUUGGAAGAGAUUUUUAUGUGCUGCUAGCUGCUGGGUAAAUGUGGCAUUUCUAGCUCAUCUUUACAUCUUGGGGAGAAUAUCAGAAAAAAGCAGAAGAAAUGUGUAAUAAAACAUGGCAAAAGUAGUGAUCUGAUCCAACUGAAUCGGCUUCCUCUGCCCACUGAUGUCCAUCUCUGAUCUACAGUUCAAAGAGUAACUCCCAUCCUUCUUGAUACGAUGAUUGACACAGCAUGCCAGAGCCAAGCCAACCAGUGCAUACCUUUCCUCUAGCCACAGGCAUGACUCAAGAGUGAACAGUCUAUUCCAUUCAUGCCAAAGAGUUGCACGGCAAGUUACCAUCAGCUUACAAAGACAGAAGACAGGUUCUCUCUUUCUGGGAACAUUUUUGGGUAAGUGUGUGAAGGGCGGAUUAUAAGAGUCAGCUUUGUAACAAUCAUCUCCAGAUAAAGCCACACAAGAAAGGAUACAAUUAGAAAAAGCCUACAGACAUGGCACACAUAGCACAAGCAGUAUUUAAAUUAGUAAA